rnacentral:lncRNA from 1 species
UUUCUUUUAGCAGCAACAGGGUGAUGAGGGUAUGACUGAGUCACUGCUGUGUUUCUCGACAAUCUCAUCACAGCUAGAAGCAUCGUUUGAUGAAGAAAGAGAAAUAUUAGAAUCUUUGGCUAAGUGGUUUGGAAAAGAAGCCCAACUGAUGGAAGAACUAGGAGAAGAACAACACGCUGUGGAUUCUCUACUUCCUAUGGCUGACAAAAGUAUAAUGGAAGGCAUUUCUAAACUGACUGUGUGUGUCCAGAGGCUUGAAAGACUGAAGAGUUGUCUUCAGAAUCUUGCAGGACAUGCCCCUCCUUCUGUGGUUAAGAAAGAACAUAAGAAAGACCUGUAA